AACGAGCGCUGGUGGCAGGCCUAAUACAUGCAAGUCGAACGCCUGUAGCAAUACAGGAGUGGCGCACGGGUGAAUAACACGUGGGAAUAUGCCUUUUGGUACGGGACAACGUCUGGAAACGGACGCUAAUACCGUAUGGUCACUUCGGGGUAAAGAUUUAUCGCCAAAAGAUUAGCCCGCGUCUGAUUAGCUAGUUGGUGAGGUAACGGCUCACCAAGGCGACGAUCAGUAGCUGGUCUGAGAGGACGAUCAGCCACACUGGGACUGAGACACGACGCAGACUCCUACGGGAGGCAGCAGUAAGGAAUAUUGGACAAUGGGCGCAAGCCUGAUCCAGCCAUGCCGCGUGAGUGAUGAAGGCCUUCGGGUUGUAAAGCUCUUUAGUCCGCGAAUAAAAUGACUGUAGCGGAAGAAUAAGCCCCGGAUAACUUCGUGCCAGCCGCCGCGGUAA
rnacentral:rRNA from 1 species